GAUGAACGCUGGCGGCGUGCCUCAAACAUGCAAGUCGAGCGGGGCUAUGUAAUAUCGCAAGGUAGAACAUAGCCUAGCGGCGAACGGGUGAGUAACACGUGGGUAACCCUGCCUGGAAGACAGGGAUAACGAUUCGAAAGGGUCGCUAAUACCUGAUAAUAUCCUUUCAUCGCAUGGUGAUAGGAAGAAAGGGGAAACCCGCUUUCAGAUGGGCCCGCGUCCCAUCAGCUAGUUGGUAAGGUAAAGGCUUACCAAGGCGACGACGGGUAGCCGGUCUGAGAGGAUGUACGGCCACACUGGGACUGAGAUACGGCCCAGACUCCUACGGGAGGCAGCAGUUGGGAAUCUUAGGCAAUGGACGAAAGUCUGACCUAGCGACGCCGCGUGAGGGAAGAAGGCCUUCGGGUUGUAAACCUCUGUCAGUGGGGAAGAAGGAAGUGACGGUACCCAAGAGGAAGCCCCUGCUAACUACGUGCCAGCAGCCGCGGUAAGAUAGCGUACU
rnacentral:rRNA from 1 species